AUACUUACCUGGCAGUGGAGAUUCCAUGAUCAGGAAGGUGAUUUCCCCAGGAUGAGGCUCACUCAUUGCACUCCAGAUGUGCUGACCCCUGCGUUUUCUCCAAAUGUGGGAAACUCGAUUGUGUAUAAUUUAUGAUAGUGGGGUACUGCAUUUGUGCUUUCCCCUG